GACGAACGCUGGCGGCGUGCUUAACACAUGCAAGUCGAACGGAAAGGCCCCUUUGGGGGUACUCGAGUGGCGAACGGGUGCGUAACACGUGAGUAACCUGCCCUUGACUUCGGGAUAACUUCAGGAAACUGGGGCUAAUACCGGAUAGGAAUCCUUGCUGCAUGGUGGGGGUUGGAAAGCUUCGGCGGUUUUGGAUGGACUCGCGGCUUAUCAGCUUGUUGGUGGGGUAGUGGCUUACCAAGGCUUUGACGGGUAGCCGGCCUGAGAGGGCGACCGGCCACAUUGGGACUGAGAUACGGCCCAGACUCCUACGGGAGGCAGCAGUGGGGAAUAUUGCACAAUGGGCGGAAGCCUGAUGCAGCAACGCCGCGUGCGGGAUGACGGCCUUCGGGUUGUAAACCGCUUUCAGCAGGGGCGAAGCUUUUGUGACGGUACCUGCAGAAGAAGCACCGGCUAACUACGUG
rnacentral:rRNA from 1 species